rnacentral:lncRNA from 1 species
UACGAGUGAGGCGGUAUGUAUGUAAUACGGUGGUUUGUGCGGCCGGAAAGAAGAAAGGGUUUUCUCGUGAGAGAGAGGACAAUGAAUCUUUUUUUUUGUUUUCUCCACCAGCAGAGAGAGUAAUAGUGGAGUGAAUGUGAGGUGAGAGACGUGAGAGAUGUGAAAGUCUUCUUCUCUUUUCUUUUCUUUUUUGUUUUCUCUUUACCUCCUGUAACCGUUAGCGGAGAGAGAUUUUGUGGAACGUGUGUGCUAGUUGGCACUUGCAAAGAAAAUAAAAUCCUUUUUCUUUAUUACCGCUGGGAGCCAACUGUCCAUUUGCAAAUAGAAUCCAAUGCUCAAA